AACACCGCCCGUCACACCACGAGAGUUUGUAACACCCGAAGUCGGUGAGGUAACCUUUUGGAGCCAGCCGCCUAAGGUGGGACAAAUGAUUGGGGUGAAGUCGUAACAAGGUAGCCGUAUCGGAAGGUGCGGCUGGAUCACCUCCUUUCUAUGGAGUAUUUACUCUAGUCGAUGUAUGACCUCGGGUCAUAUAGCGCUUUGGAUCUUUUGUUCAGUUUUGGAAGAAUUCCUCUUCCAAUUGAAAAUGCGAAGGUAAUGGAUACCACGCUAAGAACGCCACGUCCUGUGGCAACGCCUGGUACCUACAUCCUGUAGGCAUGGUUCUUUGAAAACUAAAUCAUAAUCAAUCAACUCAAAUUAGUUUUGUUCAUCGGUGUUACAACUGUUUGAACGAGACGUCAAGAAUUCAUAAACCUUUUAGGUUAACCAAUUGAUU
rnacentral:misc_RNA from 1 species